rnacentral:rRNA from 1 species
UACGUAGGGGGCUAGCGUUGUCCGGAAUCAUUGGGCGUAAAGCGCGUGUAGGCGGUCCGGUAAGUCCGCUGUGAAAGUCGGGGGCUCAACCCUCGGAUGCCGGUGGAUACUGUCGGGCUUGAGUACGGAAGAGGCGAGUGGAAUUCCUGGAGUAGCGGUGAAAUGCGCAGAUAUCAGGAGGAACACCAAUUGCGAAGGCAGCUCGCUGGGACGUUACUGACGCUGAGACGCGAAAGCGUGGGGAGCAAACAGG